UACGUAGGGUGCAAGCGUUGUCCGGAAUUAUUGGGCGUAAAGAGCUCGUAGGCGGUCUGUCACGUCGGCUGUGAAAACCUGGGGCUCAACUCCGGGCCUGCAGCCGAUACGGGCAGACUAGAGUUCGGCAGGGGAGACUGGAAUUCCUGGUGUAGCGGUGAAAUGCGCAGAUAUCAGGAAGAACACCAAUGGCGAAAGCAGCUUUCUGGGACGGUACUGACGCUGAGGAGCGAAAGUGUGGGGAGCGAACAGG
rnacentral:rRNA from 1 species